rnacentral:rRNA from 1 species
AUUGAACGCUGGCGGAAUGCCUAACACAUGCAAGUCGAGCGGGGUGUAGCAAUACACCUAGCGGCGGACGGGUGAGCAAUACAUAGGAAUCUACCUUUCAGUGGGGGAGUAGCCCGGGGAACCCGGGAUUAAUACCGCAUGAUGUCGCAAGACCAAAGCGGGGGACCGUAAGGCCUCGCGCUGAAAGAUGAGCCUAUGUCUGAUUAGCUAGUUGGCGGGGGUAAAAGACCCACCAAGGCUACGAUCAGUAGCUGGUUUGAGAGAACGAUCAGCCACACCGGAACUGAGACACGGUCCGGACUCCUACGGGAGGCAGCAGUGGGGAAGUAUUGGACAAUGGGCGAAAGCCUGAUCCAGCAAUUCCGCGUGUGUGAAGAAGGCC